rnacentral:lncRNA from 1 species
CUUUAUUUAAAAUAUAUAUUGCAGCCUCGAGGGCGUAUCCCCAAAAGGAUAAUAGAAGAUCUGUGAAACACAUUAUGGACCACACCAUAUCUAAUAAGGUAUGAUUUUUUUUUCACAAUUCUAUUUAAUUAUGGAGUAUAAGGAGGUGUCUAUUGAUACCAUUUUGUUUCAAAUAAUCGAGGAACUCACUAGACAAGUAUUCUCCUCCUCGAUC